GACGAACGCUGGCGGCGUGCUUAAUACAUGCAAGUCGAGCGAGGUCCAUCUGGUGGCAACACCAGUGAAGGCCGAGCGGCGAACGGGUGAGUAACACGUGAGCAACCUGCCCCGAAGUCUGGAAUAACAUCGGGAAACCGGUGCUAAUACCGGAUCGCCCCACCUGACCGCAUGAUCGGGUGAGGAAAGAUUUAUCGCUUCGGGAGGGGCUCGCGGCCUAUCAGCUAGUUGGUGGGGUAACGGCCUACCAAGGCAUCGACGGGUAGCUGGUCUGAGAGGACGACCAGCCACACUGGGACUGAGACACGGCCCAGACUCCUACGGGAGGCAGCAGUAGGGAAUCUUGCGCAAUGGGCGAAAGCCUGACGCAGCAACGCCGC
rnacentral:rRNA from 1 species